rnacentral:rRNA from 1 species
GCUGGCGGCACGCCUAAUACAUGCAAGUCGAACGAAGUAGCAAUACUUAGUGGCAGACGGGUGAGUAACAUGUAGGUAUCUUCCCUAUGGUGAGGAAUAACACGAGGAAACUUGUGCUAAUACCUCAUAAGUCUUUACGGAGAAAGCUUUAUGCGCCAUUGGAUGAGCCUGCACUUGAUUAGUUUGUUGGUAGGGUAAUGGCCUACCAAGACUAUGAUCAAUAGCUGAUUUGAGAGGAUGAUCAGCCACAUUGGGACUGAGACACGGCCCAAACUCCUACGGGAGGCAGCAGUAGGGAAUCUUGCACAAUGGGGGAAACCCUGAUGCAGCGAUGCCGCGUGAGUGAAGAAGGCCUUUGGGUUGUAAAGCUCUUUCGUCGGGGAAGAAAAUGACUGUACCCGAAUAAGAAGGUCCGGCUAACUUCGUGCCAGCAGCCGCGGUAAUACGAAGGGACCUAGCGUAGUUCGGAAUUACUGGGCUUAAAGAGUUCGUAGGCGGUUAAAAAAGUUGGUGGUGAAAUCCCAGAGCUUAACUCUGGAACUGCCAUCAAAACUUUUUAGCUAGAGUAUGAUAGAGGAAAGCAGAAUUUCUAGUGUAGAGGUGAAAUUCGUAGAUAUUAGAAAGAAUACCAAUUGCGAAGGCAGCUUUCUGGAUCAUUACUGACGCUGAGGAACGAAAGCAUGGGUAGCGAAGAGGAUUAGAUACCCUCGUAGUCCAUGCCGUAAACGAUGUGUGUUAGACGUUGGAAAUUUAUUUUCAGUGUCGCAGCGAAAGCAAUAAACACACCGCCUGGGGAGUACGACCGC